GUAUAGUUAUAAAGCAUGUGUAACAACCUGGUGUAUAGUUAUAAAACAUGUCUAAUAAUAUGGUCUAGUUAUUGUAGCAGAUGUUAUUAAGGUGUACAUGCUGUUGGAGCGGAGUUUAAUUUAGCAUGUGUAAUUGCCCGGUGUAUACAGAGACAAUACAUGUGUAAUUGCCCGGUGUAUACAGAGACAAUACAUGUGUAAUUGCCCGGUGUAUACAGAGACAAUACAUGUGUAAUUGCCCGGUGUAUAUAGAGACAAUACAUGUGUAAUUACCCGGUGUAUAUAGAGACAAUACAUGUGUAAUUACCCGUUAUAUAGGGUGACAAUACAUGUGUAACUACCUGCUAUAUAUAGAGACAAUACAUGUGUAAUUACCCGGUGUAUAUAUAGAGACAAUACAUGUGUAAUUACCUGCUGUAUAUAGAGACAGUACAUGUGUAUAAGUGUAAAAUGAUUGUAUAGUGAUUGUAGCUGAGGAUAUGGAUGUGUCAUAAGGUAGUGUACAGGUCAUAUGAUACAUCAUCAGGCAGUGUACAGGAUAUAUGAUGCGUCAUAAGGCAGUGUACAGGUCAUAUGAUGCAUCAUCACGCAGUGUACAGGUCAUAUGACGCGUCAUAAGGUAGUGUACAGGUCAUAUGACGCGUCAUAAGGUAGUGUAUAGGUUAUAUGACACAUCAUAAGGUAGUGUAUAGGUUAUAUGACGCGUCAUAAGGUAGUGUAUAGGUUAUGUGAUGCGUCAUAAGGUAGUGUAUAGGUUAUAUGAUGCAUGAUAAGGUAGUGUAUAGGUUAUAUGAUGCGUCAUAAGGUAGUGUAUAAUGUCUCUAUCGUAGCUGGUCUCACCGCUGAUAACCGGGCGGAUCUCCUCUGGGGCUGCAACAGGAAGAGGAAGAGAAAACAUAUCACCACAGAAAAACACACGCUGUCAGAGAUCAACUAUGAUGAAACUGAGCUGACAAUACGAGUUCAUUUAUUGAAUAGUAAUUAUAGGGGAUGAGUUGUAGUCGAGGAUCUCGGUCUCACCUCCU
rnacentral:lncRNA from 1 species